rnacentral:rRNA from 1 species
CCUACGGGAGGCAGCAGUGAGGAAUAUUGGACAAUGGGCGCAAGCCUGAUCCAGCCAUGCCGCGUGCAGGAAGAAGCAUCUAUGGUGUGUAAACUGCUUUUGUACAGGAAGAAACACUCCCUCGUGAGGGAGCUUGACGGUACUGUAAGAAUAAGGACCGGCUAACUCCGUGCCAGCAGCCGCGGUAAUACGGAGGGUCCGAGCGUUAUCCGGAAUCAUUGGGUUUAAAGGGUCCGUAGGCGGUUUAAUAAGUCAGUGGUGAAAUCUGGUCGCUCAACGAUCAAACGGCCAUUGAUACUGUUAGACUUGAAUUAUAAGGAAGUAACUAGAAUAUGUAGUGUAGCGGUGAAAUGCUUAGAUAUUACAUGGAAUACCAAUUGCGAAGGCAGGUUACUACUUAUGGAUUGACGCUGAUGGACGAAAGCGUGGGGAGCGAACAGGAUUAGAUACCCUGGUAGUCCACGCCGUAAACGAUGGAUACUAGCUGUUCGGAGNAUNUGAGUGNGUAGACGAAGAGAGUAAGUAGUACCACCGUCGGGAGGUACGGUUAACGGUCGAGAAGUUAGUAAACGUUAAAGGUUAAAGUUAAGUUACGGCGUUGAGAGUUAGCGACGGACGACGACGAGGGAGGAGG